rnacentral:rRNA from 1 species
AUGAAGCCGAGCGCCGCUGUCAUGCUCGCCGCCGUCGUGGCGCUGCUCCUGGUCUCGGCCGUGCGGGGCGAGGACGACUGCGGGUCGCCGGAGUCGGCGGCGCGCGACCGCGCGCGGGCGAGGCCGCUUAAGAUCGCGGCCUUCUUCUCCAUCCUGAUCUGCGGGGCGCUGGGUUGCUCCCUGCCCGUGCUGGGGCGACACGUGCCCGCGCUCCGGCCCGACGGCGACGUCUUCUUCCUGGUCAAGGCGUUCGCGGCGGGGGUCAUCCUCGCCACGGGGUUCAUCCACAUCCUCCCCGACGCGUUCGAAAAUCUCACGUCCGACUGCCUGCCUGCCGCCGGGCCGUGGAAGGACUUCCCGUUCGCCGGGUUGGGAGCCAUGGUCGGCGCCAUCGGCACGCUCGUCGUCGACACCCUCGCCACGGGGUACUUCACGCGCGCCCACUUGAACAAGGACCGAGCCCACGGCAGCAGCGCCGCCGUGGUGGACGAGGAGAAACAGGCUGCUGCUGCCGCCGCCAGCGAGUUAGCGCGCCACCACGACGGCGGGGAGCACGAGGGACAUGUUCACUUGCACACGCACGCAACCCAUGGCCACACCCACGGGUCGGCGGCGCUCGUUGCGGCCGUUGGCGGCGCCGAGGACGAAAAGGACACGAUCCGGCAUCGUGUAAUCUCUCAGGUACUCGAGUUGGGUAUUGUGGUGCACUCGGUGAUCAUCGGCAUCUCCCUCGGCGCGUCUCAGGACCCGGAAACUAUCAAACCUCUCGUCAUUGCCUUGAGCUUCCACCAGAUGUUCGAGGGAAUGGGCCUUGGUGGCUGCAUAGUUCAGGCAAAGUUCAAGGCUAGGUCCAUCGUGACCAUGAUCCUCUUCUUCUGCCUGACAACGCCGGUGGGCAUCGCCAUCGGCUUCGGCAUAUCUCGAGUGUACAACGAGAACAGCCCGACGGCGCUGGUGGUGGAGGGCAGCCUCAACUCUGUGGCAGCGGGGAUCCUCGUCUACAUGGCCCUCGUCGACCUCCUCGCCGAGGACUUCAUGAACCCUAAGGUGCAGAGCAGGGGAAAGCUGCAGCUUGGUAUCAACGUCUCCAUGCUGGUCGGUGCAGGCCUCAUGUCCAUGCUCGCCAAAUGGGCCUAG